rnacentral:rRNA from 1 species
GUAGGUGGCAAGCGUUGUCCGGAAUUAUUGGGGCGUAAAGCGCGCGCAGGCGGUUCUUUAAGUCUGAUGUGAAAGCCCACGGGCUCAGCCGUGGAGGGUCAUUGGAAACUGGAGAACUUGAGUACAGAAGAGGAAAGCGGAAUUCCACGUGUAGCGGUGAAAUGCGUAGAGAUGUGGAGGAACACCAGUGGCGAAGGCGGCUUUCUGGUCUGUAACUGACGCUGAGGCGCGAAAGCGUGGGGAGCAAACAGGAUUAGAUACCCUGGUAGUCCACGCCGUAAACGAUGAGUGCUAAGUGUUAGGGGGUUUCCGCCCCUUAGUGCUGCAGCUAACGCAUUAAGCACUCCGCCUGGGGAGUACGGCCGCAAAGGCUG